rnacentral:tRNA from 1 species
GCAUUGGUGGUUCAGUGGUAGAAUUCUCGCCUGCUACGCGGGAGAUCCUUGUACGCUUCCUGGCCAAUGCU